GUAGGUGGCAAGCGUUGUCCGGAAUUAUUGGGCGUAAAGCGCGCGCAGGCGGUUCUUUAAGUCUGAUGUGAAAGCCCACGGGCUCAACCGUGGAGGGUCAUUGGAAACUGGAGAACUUGAGUACAGAAGAGGAAAGCGGAAUUCCACGUGUAGCGGUGAAAUGCGUAGAGAUGUGGUGGAACACCAGUGGCGAAGGCGGCUUUCUGGUCUGUAACUGACGCUGAGGCGCGAAAGCGUGGGGAGCAAACAGGAUUAGAUACCCUGGUAGUCCACGCCGUAAACGAUGAGUGCUAAGUGUUAGGGGGUUUCCGCCCCUUAGUGCUGCAGCUAACGCAUUAAGCACUCCGCCUGGGGAGUACGGCCGCAAAGGCUG
rnacentral:rRNA from 1 species